CACCUCACCUGGGAGCCUGCACCUGCACCUCCACACCUCACCUGGGAGCCUGCACCUGCACCUCCACACCUCACCUGGGAGCCUGCACCUCCACACCUCACCUGGGAGCCUGCACCUCCACACCUCACCUGGGAGCCUGUACCUCCAACCUUGGUAACAGUCACCCAGACCCAGACUGAGGUCUAGGGUAACAGUCACUCAUCCAGGCUGAGGUCUAGGGUAACAGUCACCCAGAUCCAGACCCAGGCUGAGGUCUAGGGUAACAGCCACCCAGAUCCAGACCCAGGCUGAGGUCUAGGGUAACAGUCACCCAGAUCCAGACCCAGGCUGAGGUCUAGGGUAACAGUCACCCAGAUCCAGACCCAGGCUGAGGUCUAGGGUAACAGUCACCCAGAUCCAGACCCAGGCUGAGGUCUAGGGUAACAGUCACCCAGAUCCAGACCCAGGCUGAGGUCUAGGGUAACAGUCACCCAGAUC